GACGAACGCUGGCGGCGUGCUUAACACAUGCAAGUCGAACGGAAAGGCCCUGCUUUUGUGGGGUGCUCGAGUGGCGAACGGGUGAGUAACACGUGAGUAACCUGCCCUUGACUUUGGGAUAACUUCAGGAAACUGGGGCUAAUACCGGAUAGGAGCUCCUGCUGCAUGGUGGGGGUUGGAAAGUUUCGGCGGUUGGGGAUGGACUCGCGGCUUAUCAGCUUGUUGGUGGGGUAGUGGCUUACCAAGGCUUUGACGGGUAGCCGGCCUGAGAGGGUGACCGGCCACAUUGGGACUGAGAUACGGCCAGACUCCUACGGGAGGCAGCAGUGGGGAAUAUUGCACAAUGGGCGGAAGCCUGAUGCAGCAACGCCGCGUGCGGGAUGACGGCCUUCGGGUUGUAAACCGCUUUCGCCUGUGACGAAGCGUGAGUGGCGGUAAUGGGUAAAGAAGCACCGGCUAACUACGUG
rnacentral:rRNA from 1 species